GACGAACGCUGGCGGCGUGCUUAACACAUGCGAGUCGAACGAAGAGCGAUGGAAGCUUGCUUCUAUCAAUCUUAGUGGCGAACGGGUGAGUAACGCGUAAUCAACCUGCCCUUCAGAGGGGGACAACAGUUGGAAACGACUGCUAAUACCGCAUACGAUCUAAUCUCGGCAUCGAGGAUAGAUGAAAGGUGGCCUCUACAUGUAAGCUAUCACUGAAGGAGGGGAUUGCGUCUGAUUAGCUAGUUGGAGGGGUAACGGCCCACCAAGGCGAUGAUCAGUAGCCGGUCUGAGAGGAUGAACGGCCACAUUGGGACUGAGACGCGGCCCAGACUCCUACGGGAGGCAGCAGUGGGGAAUCUUCCGCAAUGGACGAAAGUCUGACGGAGCAACGCCGCGUGAGCGAUGACGGCCUUCGGGUUGUAAAGCUCUGUUAAUCGGGACGAAAGGCCUUCUUGCGAAUAGUGAGAAGGAUUGACGGUACCGGAAUAGAAAGCCACGGCUAACUACGUG
rnacentral:rRNA from 1 species